rnacentral:misc_RNA from 1 species
AAGUCGUAACAAGGUUUCCGUAGGUGAACCUGCGGAAGGAUCAUUAACACGUAUCCAAACGUUAAAACCCCCCCCGUGAACAUUCAAUCCUGCUCGGGAGGAAAGCAGUUUGAUUCAGAGACCUCUGGCCCGUGAGAAAAUUGGAACAGUUACAAUUCGAGCGGUAGGUUUAUAGGCCUUGUUUCCCCAAGCAGUCAGUGUCUGAAAGCGUCAUUGAUUGUGCAAGGAUAGCGCUUCACGAUUCCUGUAGACCGUACACUCGGGCAGGAGCUAGGCCAAAGGGUCACCAUGCCCCCUUACAACCCCACAGUUUAUUGCAAAGCUCAAUGUAAUACAUUGGGUAAAAAAACUUGAACAACUGUUAACAAUGGAUAUCUUGGUUCUC